rnacentral:sRNA from 1 species
AAAGUCGGCCCAGCAGAUGAGGAAGUGGCAGGCAGGCAGGCUGGCCCCGGGGACUUCUCUCUGGCCCUGCUCCCUCCGAGCGCUCCGCCGUUGCCCGCCUGGCCCCUACGGAGUCCUUAGCCAGGAUGGAGGCUGUUGUGAACUUGUACCAAGAGAUGAUGAAGCACGCAGAUCCCCGGAUCCAGGGCUACCCUCUGAUGGGGUCCCCUUUGCUAAUGACCUCCAUCCUCCUGACCUACGUGUACUUCGUUCUCUCACUUGGGCCUCGCAUCAUGGCUAAUCGGAAGCCCUUCCAGCUCCGUGGCUUCAUGAUUGUCUACAACUUCUCACUGGUGGCACUCUCCCUCUACAUUGUCUAUGAGUUCCUGAUGUCGGGCUGGCUGAGCACCUAUACCUGGCGCUGUGACCCUGUGGACUAUUCCAACAGCCCUGAGGCACUUAGGAUGGUUCGGGUGGCCUGGCUCUUCCUCUUCUCCAAGUUCAUUGAGCUGAUGGACACAAUCCAGUUUGUCCUGGUCUCACUGCACAUCUCCCAGUACUACUUUAUGUCCACCUGUAACUACCAGUACCCAGUCAUUAUUCACCUCAUCUGGAUGUAUGGCACCAUCUUCUUCGUGCUGUUCUCCAACUUCUGGUAUCACUCUUAUACCAAGGGCAAGCGGCUGCCCCGUGCACUUCAGCAAAAUGGAGCUCCAGGUAUUGCCAAGGUCAAGGCCAACUGAGAAGCAUGGCCCAGAUAGGCGCCCACCUAAGUGCCUCAGGACUGCACCUUGGGCAGCGUCCGUCAGUGCCCUCUCCACCUACACCUGUGACCAAGGCUUAUGUGGUCAGGACUGAGCAGGGGACUGGCCCUCCCCUCCCCACAG